CCUACGGGCGGCAGCAGUGGGGAAUAUUGCACAAUGGGGGAAACCCUGAUGCAGCAACGCCGCGUGAGUGAAGAAGUAUCUCGGUAUGUAAAGCUCUAUCAGCAGGGAAGAAAAUGACGGUACCUGACUAAGAAGCCCCGGCUAACUACGUGCCAGCAGCCGCGGUAAUACGUAGGGGGCAAGCGUUAUCCGGAUUUACUGGGUGUAAAGGGAGCGUAGACGGUGUGGCAAGUCUGAAGUGAAAGCCCGGGGCUCAACCCCGGGACUGCUUUGGAAACUGUCAUGCUGGAGUGCUGGAGAGGUAAGCGGAAUUCCUAGUGUAGCGGUGAAAUGCGUAGAUAUUAGGAGGAACACCAGUGGCGAAGGCGGCUCUCUGGGCCGUCACUGACGCUGAGGCGCGAAAGCUGGGGGAGCGAACAGGAUUAGAUACCCCGGUAGUC
rnacentral:rRNA from 1 species